UACGUAGGGUGCGAGCGUUGUCCGGAAUUAUUGGGCGUAAAGGGCUCGUAGGCGGUUUGUCGCGUCGGGAGUGAAAACACCGGGCUUAACUCGGUGCUUGCUUUCGAUACGGGCAGACUUGAGGCAUGCAGGGGAGAACGGAAUUCCUGGUGUAGCGGUGAAAUGCGCAGAUAUCAGGAGGAACACCGGUGGCGAAGGCGGUUCUCUGGGCAUGUCCUGACGCUGAGGAGCGAAAGUGUGGGGAGCGAACAGG
rnacentral:rRNA from 1 species